GCAAACUUGGUCAUUUAGAGGAAGUAAAAGUCGUAACAAGGUUUCCGUAGGUGAACCUGCGGAAGGAUCAUUAACAAUUUAAUCAUCUAUAAAGAUGAAAUACUUUGUGUGCAAUGUAUGUUUUGAAAAAGAUGGAAUGAAUUUUCCAUCUUUUUUUUUUAUAUAUACACCUAUAAAACUUUUGAAUAAAAAAAAUUUUUUUUUAAAAAUAAAAAUACAACUUUCAACAACGGAUCUCUUGGCUCUCGCAUCGAUGAAGAACGCAGC
rnacentral:misc_RNA from 1 species